CCGCGCACACUCACACACUCUCUCACACAGACACUGAUAAAUACCAGGUAUUACAUGCCUCUUCUUCAUGUGUGUAUCAUAAAGCUCACCCCGGGCCCGGUGCACCCAGGAUGCGAUCUUCCCAGAUGUCCUUCACUCCGGCGCCGGACACCACGGACCCUGGGUACACCCGCAGUGGGGGGCGUGAGCCAGGCCCCGGGUGACCACCUCUCCCCCUCCGGUCUUCGAGAUCUCCACAUGGAACUGCUUCGCUCCCCUCCGCGAGUCAGAACGUGACGCUGUGAUCGUCGGUGACUCCAUCGUCCGACACGUCCGUGCUACGUUAGCCGAAGGUAAAGUGCACACUCACUGUUUCCCUGGUGUUUGUGUUCUCGAUGUUUCUGCGCAGAUACCCGCGAUCCUGAAGGCCGACGAGAGCCCUGGAGUGGUCGUGCUUCUCACCGGGGUUAACGACACCACGCAGCGGCAGAUGGAGACACUGAAGAGGGACUUCAGGAGCUUGAUCGUGUCAGGACCACUCCCCACGCUUUUUCGUGCUGAUGUCCUGGACCCCAGCAGAGUCGGAGCGGAACUCCUCUCGGACAACAUCUCCAGGACUCUACACUCCAUAUGACUAGUAAACCAAUUCUCAAAUAACUGCUAUGAUGGCUUUUGUUCUACCCUCUUAAAU